rnacentral:rRNA from 1 species
AGAACGAACGUUGGCGGCGUGGAUUAGGCAUGCAAGUCGAACGAAUGUCAGUUUUGUAGCAAUACAGAGCUGGCGGAAGUGGCGAAAGGGGCAGUAAUGCAUGGGUAACCUACCUUGGGGAUGGGCAUAGCCGUUCUAACGGACGGGUAAUUCCCAGAGAUUCGGCGGGGGGGCAUCCUCCUACCGGGAAAUGAAUUUCGCCUCGAGAGGGGCCCAUGUGCUAUUAGCUAGUUGGUAGGGUAACGGCCUACCAAGGCUAAGAUGGCUAGCGGGUGUGAGAGCACGACCCGCGCCACUGGCACUGAGACACUGGCCAGACACCGUACGGGUGCUGCAGUCGAGGAUCUUCGUCAAGUGGGCGCAAGCCUAGAACGAGCGACGCCGCGUGCGCGAUGGAAGGCCGUUCGGUUAGUAAAGCGACGGAAAGGU